rnacentral:tRNA from 1 species
GCCGAUGUGGUGAAAUUGGCAGACACGCCAGACUCAAAAUCUGGUGCCCGCAAGGGUGUAUCGGUUCAAGUCCGAUCAUCGGCA